GCCGGGUGUGGUGGUGCACGCCUGUUAUUCCAGAGGCUCAGGAGGCUGAGGCAGGAGGGUAGUGAGUUCAAAGCCAGCCUCAGCAAAAGCAAGGCGCUAAGCAACUCAGUGAGAUCCUGUCUCUA
rnacentral:sRNA from 1 species